rnacentral:rRNA from 1 species
ACGAACGCUGGCGGCGUGCUUAACACAUGCAAGUCGAACGGAAAGGCCCCUUCGGGGGUACUCGAGUGGCGAACGGGUGAGUAACACGUGGGCAACCUGCCCCUAGCUCUGGGAUAACUCCGGGAAACCGGUGCUAAUACUGGAUAUCGACCUUUGCGGGCAUCCGCUUCGGUCAAAAGUUUUUCGGCUAGGGAUGGGCCCGCGGCCUAUCAGCUUGUUGGUGGGGUAAUGGCCUACCAAGGCGACGACGGGUAGCCGGCCUGAGAGGGCGACCGGCCACACUGGGACUGAGACACGGCCCAGACUCCUACGGGAGGCAGCAGUGGGGAAUAUUGCGCAAUGGGCGAAAGCCUGACGCAGCGACGCCGCGUGAGGGAUGACGGCCUUCGGGUUGUAAACCUCUUUCAGCUCUGACGAAUUUGACGGUAGGAGCAGAAGAAGCACCGGCUAACUACGU